GCCUAUAAAUAUAGAAGUGAUUCCAUCCCGGAUUUUUCAAAAGUUUUUUUAAAAAGAUUUUUAGGUU
rnacentral:tRNA from 1 species